AUUGAACGCUGGCGGCAUGCCUUACACAUGCAAGUCGAACGGUAACAGGUCUUCGGAUGCUGACGAGUGGCGAACGGGUGAGUAAUACAUCGGAACGUGCCCGAUCGUGGGGGAUAACGAAGCGAAAGCUUUGCUAAUACCGCAUAAGAUCUACGGAUGAAAGCAGGGGACCGCAAGGCCUUGCGCGAACGGAGCGGCCGAUGGCAGAUUAGGUAGUUGGUGGGAUAAAAGCUUACCAAGCCGACGAUCUGUAGCUGGUCUGAGAGGACGACCAGCCACACUGGGACUGAGACACGGCCCAGACUCCUACGGGAGGCAGCAGUGGGGAAUUCUGGACAAUGGGCGAAAGCCUGAUCCAGCCAUGCCGCGUGCAGGAUGAAGGCCUUCGGGUUGUAAACUGCUUUUGUACGGAAAGAAAAGACUCUGGUUAAUACCUGGGGUCCAUGACGGUACCGGAAGAAUAAGCACCGGCUAACUACGUG
rnacentral:rRNA from 1 species